CUUAUUCGUGAAUGGCAUAAGUCAAAACGACUCUCGGCAACGGAUAUCUCGGCUCUCGCAUCGAUGAAGAACGUAGCGAAAUGCGAUACUUGGUGUGAAUUGCAGAAUCCCGUGAACCAUCGAGUCUUUGAACGCAAGUUGCGCCCGAAGCCUUUUGGCCGA
rnacentral:rRNA from 1 species